rnacentral:rRNA from 1 species
UACGGAGGAUCCGAGCGUUAUCCGGAUUUAUUGGGUUUAAAGGGUACGCAGGCGGGAGAUUAAGUCGGCGGUGAAAUUUUGCAGCUCAACUGUAAAAGUGCCUUUGAUACUGGUUUCCUUGAGUGUGGAUGAAGUAGGCGGAAUUUGUGGUGUAGCGGUGAAAUGCAUAGAUAUCACGAGGAACUCCGAUUGCGCAGGCAGCUUACUAAACCAUAACUGACGCUCAGGCACGAAGGCGUGGGGAUCAAACAGGAUUAGAUACCCCGGUAGUCCCU